rnacentral:rRNA from 1 species
CCCUUAGAUGUUCUGGGCUGCACGCGUGUUACAAUCGGGAGUACAACAAGAUUGCAAAUCCUAGUGGAUGAGUGGUUCUUCGAAAUUUUCUGAAGACUGGGAUAGUUGAUUGAAAUUAUUCAACUCGAACGAGGAAUUCCUUGUAAUCGUGAUUCAUCACAUCACGAUGAAUACGUCCCUGCCCUUUGUACACACCGCCCGUCGCUCCUACCGAUCGAAGAGUUAGGUGAAUUGUUUUGAUCGAUAAGAUUUGACUAUGGUCAACUCUCGUUGUGAAAUUCUGUGAAUCUGACUGUUUAGAGGAAGGAAAAGUCGUAACA